rnacentral:sRNA from 1 species
CUAAAUACAUCUUUAAAAAUGGUAGGGUAGCACGGGCUUGUGAGUGCAGUCGCUCUCAGAGAUCACAGAUAUUGGAUCCUCUGGAGCUGUAGUUACAGGUGACUGUGGACUGCCUGACGUGUGUGCUAGAAAUACGCUCUGCAGAAGCAGAUAUGCUCUGAGCUGCUGAGUUCUAGAUCCAAGUAUGUGUUGCUUGACACGCAUGCCCUGAUCCUGGUUGGCUGUGUCUCAGGCCUCUUAAUGGCAGCUCCUACAGUCGUAGACUGAGCUUUGUGGCUUUUGUCUCUGCCAGCCUGGGCGUCAGCCAUGGGUCCUCUCUGAGUGGCUGUUUUCUUUCCAUAUGAAUCCUCUGAGGAUACUGGCCCUCAGGUGGAGUAAAAGUGACCUCUCCUCCAACCCCAUAGAGAAGGGGCUGGGAAUGUCUUCAUUUGAAUAAACUGGAGAAACUUGGGACAGGCUCUUCUGGCUUUCAGGAUGACUUUGCAGAGUGGGGAUUACUUGCUGUUCUCAGCUAGCUGUUUUCCGGACAAAUAGAUCUUAUCUGCCUCCAAGCCGUCCCCGUCAGGGUAGUCGCCUCCAGGGUGGGCAAGAGACUUAAGUAAGGCCAGUCAAUGGGAACCUCUGAAGCUAUACAUCCUAGAAAUUUCUUGUCUGACCGCAGCGAAACUGUGAGGAUGGGAUACCCAGCAAUCCAGUCAGGAUUGACAGUGCUGCCCUUUUCUGGGCAGAGAGGAACCAACUGCCCGGGUUUUCCUACAGUGACCAAACUUGAGAUCCACCUCCUAGGGCCCCAGGAGAAUGGGGAGCAUUGUUGACUUCCCAAGGGAGAAUGGCUGCUUUAUUUGCAUCUCCAGGUUUCCUGGUAUGUGUUUUAUGACCUUACUGCCCUUUGGUCAACAACCAGAGCUUGAGCUUCAGAGCCCAGCAAGGCAGAGCCACAGCAGAUCCCCUGGAAAUGGAGCAGAGAGCCAGGAAUCAAAUAUGGGUCCUCUUUAAGAUCGUCAACAGCCAGGCCCUGGGUUCGGUCCCCAGCUCCAAAAAAAAGAACCA